UGAGCAACACGUAUCCAACCUGCCGUCUACUCUUGGACAGCCUUCUGAAAGGAAGAUUAAUACAAGAUGGCAUCAUGAGUCCGCAUGUUCACAUGAUUAAAGGUAUUCCGGUAGACGAUGGGGAUGCGUUCCAUUAGAUAGUAGGCGGGGUAACGGCCCACCUAGUCUUCGAUGGAUAGGGGUUCUGAGAGGAAGGUCCCCCACAUUGGAACUGAGACACGGUCCAA
rnacentral:rRNA from 1 species